AUGGCUGAGUAAGGCAUUAGACUGUAAAUCUAAAUACAGGGGUUUAAGUCCCCUUCUUAUCA
rnacentral:tRNA from 1 species